rnacentral:rRNA from 1 species
UCUAACGCCGUGACGGCAGCGGCGGUAAUACGGGGGGUGCAGGCGUUGUGCGGAAUGAGUGCGCGGCAAGGGCGCGUAGGUGGCCCGUUAAGUGGCGGGUGAAACCCCGCGGUUCAACGGCGGGGCUGCCGGUCAUACGGGCGAGCUAGAGCACGGUAGGGGCAGAUGGAAUUCCCGGUGUAGCGGUGGAAUGCGUAGAGAUCGGGAAGAAUACCAGUGGCGAAGGCGUUCUGCUGGGCCGUUGCUGACACUGAGGCGCGACAGCGUGGGGAGCAAACAGGAUUAGAUACCCUGGUAGUC